UCCACCUCUACUCCUGGUUCUCCUGGUUCUCCUCUUCCUGUGGUCCUGUCUGUAACAUGCUUUAUUCUGCUGGUUCUCCUGGUUUUACUGGUUCUACUGGUGAGACGUCGUGUUCUCAGGAGACCUAAAGCUGAUGGAGGAGAAGCUGGAGGAGAUGACAUCACAUACAGUGACAUCAGAGUAUUACAUCAUCAACAGCAGCCAAUCAGACGGAGCAGAGAGAGCGAUCCAGCUGCAGUCUACUCGGCAGUGAAAGGAAGAGAAGACGUCACUUAUGGACAGAUGGUCUUCAAAGACGGUGGAGGCCGAUCAAAGAGCAGAG